rnacentral:rRNA from 1 species
CCUACGGGUGGCAGCAGUGGGGAAUAUUGCACAAUGGGCGAAAGCCUGAUGCAGCAACGCCGCGUGAAGGAAGACGGUUUUCGGAUUGUACACUUCUGUUCUUAGUGAAGAAUAAUGACGGUAACUCAGGCGCAAGCCCCGGCUCACUACGUGCCAGCAGCCGCGGUAAUGCGUGGGUGGCAAGCGUUGUCCGGCAUUACUGGGUGUAAAGGGCGUGUAGGCGGGACUGCAAGUCAGAUGUGAAAACCAUGGGCGCAACCCAUGGCCUGCAUUUGAAACUGUAGUUCUUGAGUGUUGGAGAGGCAGGCGGAAUGCCGUGUGUAGCGGUGAAAUGCGUAGAUAUACGGAGGAACACCAGUGGCGAAGGCGGCGUGCUGGACAAUAACUGACGCUGAGGCGCGAAAGCGUGGGGAGCAAACAGGAUUAGAUACCCGAGUAGUC